AACUGAAGCUGCUCAGUGCGGGUGAGAGAAUGUCGAGUGGAGCAAAGUAACAGAGUGGGUGUGUGAGGAGGAAUAGAGCCAGUGGAGUGGGCACGGAGGCUUCGUAAAGACACAGUGCAGGCCGCAGAUCCCAAAUAACAAGGAUGUUAGAAGAGGAGGGAGACGAGAAACUCAAAACAAACAACACAUCAAAAUCUGAAAGUCACUUAUUCCACCUGAAUAUCAUCAGUCUUUGAAUAUACCAGCACUUAUUGUGACCGCACCCCCGCCCCCCCCAAGUUGCCUGUGGAGAAGAUGAUGAUUAAUCUUGUUGAAGCACUGCAAUCUGUGUGAUGAAGGUCCUCCCACAAUGCUGUUAGGGUAUUAGAAAGGGAGGAUUUGCAGUCGGGAAACUGAAACCAAACAUCACAUCAGGAUCUGACGAAGUCACCCUAUUGAACAUGGACGGACAAAGCACCGUCCAUGCUGGGGAGACACCGUGGAAAUGUGGGGACUGUAGGAAGGGAUUCAGAUUCCCGUCUGAGCUGGAAACUCAUCGGCGCAGUCACACUGGGGAGAGACCAUUCACCUGUUCCCUAUGUGGGAAGGGAUUCGCUUGAUCAUCCAACCUACUGACACGCCAGCGAGUUCACACUGGGGAGAAGCCGAUCAGCUCCUCCGAGUGUGGGAAGGGAUUCAAUCAUUCUUCCCACCUGCUGAGACACCAGCGAGUUCACACUGGGGAGAGACCAUUCACCUACUCCCAGUGUGGGAAGAGAUUCACUCGGUCAUCCCACCUGCUGAGAUACCAGCGAGUUCACACGGGGGAGAGACUUUUUAAAUAUCCAGACUGCGGGAAGUGCUACAAAAAAAGUUCUGUGGAACUGAUCUCCCAUCAACGUGUUCACACUGACGAGAGACCGUUCAGGUGCUCUCACUGUGGGACCGGGUUCAGGCAAUCAGCUCACCUCACUGUGCACCAGCGAAUUCACACCGGGGAGAGGCCUUUCACCUGCUCCAAAUGUGGGAAGGGAUUCACUCAGUCAUCUGCACUGCUGAGACACCAGCAAGUUCACAAGUAACUCGUAACAUUGAGUAGAUUUUUCUGUUAGUCACAUUCAGAACGAAACCAUAUUCAUUGCGGUCUGUUUCUGCUGAUGUUAGUA